AGGCCAUUGCUAUUGGAGUCCGAUUUAGCCAUGCUAGUCGCACGGGUUCAGACCCGUGGCGAAUAGCUCCGUAACACGUGGCCAAACUACCCUCUGGAUCGGGAUAACCUCGGGAAACUGAGGCUAAUACCGAAUAUCGCUCUCAUCCUGGAAUUGGAGAGAGCACGAAACGCUCCGGCGCCAUAGGAUGUGGCUGCGGCCGAUUAGGUAGACGGUGGGGUAACGGCCCACCGUGCCGAUAAUCGGUACGGGUUGUGAGAGCAAGAACCCGGAGACGGUAUCUGAGACAAGAUACCGGGCCCUACGGGGCGCAGCAGGCGCGAAACCUUUACACUGCACGAACGUGCGAUAAGGGGACUCCAAGUGCGAGGGCAUACAGUCCUCGCUUUUCCCUACCGUAAGGUGGUAGGUGAAUAAGAGCUGGGCAAGACCGGUGCCAGCCGCCGCGGUAAUACCGGCAGCUCGAGUGAUGGCCAAUAUUAUUGGGCCUAAAGCGUCCGUAGCUGGCCGAACAGGUCUGUCGGGAAAUCCGCUCGCUCAACGAGCGGACGUCCGGCGGAAACCAGUUGGCUUGGGACCGGAAGACCCGAGGGGUACGUCCGGGGUAGGAGUGAAAUCCUGUAAUCCUGGACGGACCGCCGGUGGCGAAAGCGCCUCGGGAGAACGGAUCCGACAGUGAGGGACGAAAGCUUGGGUCACGAACCGGAUUAGAUACCCGGGUAGUCCAAGCUGUAAACGAUGCUCGCUAGGUGUGGCACUGGCUACGAGCCAGUGCUGUGCCGUAGGGAAGCCGAGAAGCG
rnacentral:rRNA from 1 species